rnacentral:rRNA from 1 species
GACGAACGCUGGCGGCGUGCUUAACACAUGCAAGUCGAGCGGAAAGGCCACCUCGAUGGUACUCGAGCGGCGAACGGGUGAGUAACACGUGCGUAAUCUCCCCCUGGCUUUGGGAUAGCCACCGGAAUCGGGGAUUAAUACCGGAUACGACCACUUCUCGCAUGGGAUGGUGGCGGACAGUUUUUUCGGCCAGGGAUGUGCUCGCGGCCUAUCAGCUUGAUGGUGAGGUAAUGGCUCACCAUGGCUUCGACGGGUAGCCGGCCUGAGAGGGUGACCGGUCACACUGGGACUGAGACACGGCCCAGACUCCUACGGGAGGCAGCAGUGGGGAAUAUUGGACAAUGGGCGGAAGCCUGAUCCAGCAACGCCGCGUGAGGGAUGACGGCCUUCGGGUUGUAAACCUCUUUCAGCAGGGACGAAGCGCAAGUGACGGUACCUGCAGAAGAAGCACCGGCCAACUACGUGCCAGCCGCCGCAGUAA